rnacentral:rRNA from 1 species
UGUGUAGGCGGUUGUUUAAGUUUGGUGUGAAAUCUCCCGGCUCAACUGGGAGGGUGCGCCGAAUACUGAAUGACUAGAGUGCGGGAGAGGAAAGUGGAAUUCCUGGUGUAGCGGUGAAAUGCGUAGAUAUCAGGAGGAACACCGGUGGUGUAGACGGCUUUCUGGACCGUAACUGACGCUGAGACACGAAAGCGUGGGUAGCAAACAGGAUUAGAUACCCUGGUAGUCCACGCCCUAAACGAUGCAUAUUUGGUGUGGGCAGUUCAGUCUGUCCGUGCCGGAGCUAACGCGUUAAAUAUGCCGCCUGGGGAGUACAGUCGCAAGGCUGAA